GGGGGGCAUAUGAUGAAAUUAUAUUUCAUGGGUAAUUUGCGUCUGAUUCUAUGUGAUGCUAACUUUUAUGAUUAUCUGAUGCCCAGAAAGAAAAAAAAAAAAAAAAAAAAAAAAAAAAAA
rnacentral:snoRNA from 1 species